GUUCUAACGGACAGCAUUCUCGGCGGGCCUUGUGUGUACCGUCAAAAUUGAAAAAAAAUUCACUGAACAAUGGACCAAUCUCGGCGGGCUAUAAAAAGGCUGCCGAGAUCGGUCCCCUUAAAAUUUGAAGCUGACGGUUAUGGGCAUCAAGACUACCCAAUCUCGACAGAAACGUUAUGGCCCGCCGAGAUCGGUCCUUGAAAAAACCCUAAUCAGCUGCCCAACCCGUCACAAUGUUUGCCUCUCUUUUCUUCCCUAAUUUUUUCCCUCUCUUUCUCCCUCCAAAAUUUCAAUCGCAUAUUUUAUCCGCCUCUCUAAUUCUUCAUUCUUCUCUCGUUCUCUCUCCCUCCUCUUGUCGAUUCUCUCUCUUGCUCACAUUUGACAUUUGACAUCUUGCAUCACCAUCUUCCUUUCGUUUUUCAGGUGUGGCAAGUGUUGGAGAAGACAUUGGGGAUGGGACAACGCCAGAGCUAGGGACGAUGAAACAUGGUCACUGGAUACGAACACUAGUCUGUGCUUCCUCUUCUCUUUAUUAUCAAAUCUAUAUUUUUUUCUUCCAUUUAUAUAUAUUUGUAAUUUGUAUAUGUAUAUAUAUGUAUUUUUUGCUUUAAAUUAGUUUAUUUUCUUUUUUUUUUAUAUACAUAUAUAUGUAUGUAUGCCUUUUUAUUAUGCCUGAGAUUUGUUUUUAUUGACUUUGAUAUGAAUUUGGGGAUUUUAAUAUUGUUCCAGGAUAUAUUGGAUUGCUUUUGUCAAUAGAAUUUUUAUAUAUUGGAUUGAUUUAUGUUUUGUAAGUUCAUGAGAAUUGAAUUUUGAUAAAUGGAUUUUGUAUUUUUGGAAAGGGAAAUUCUUUUUUGUUUGUUUUUCGUUUUUGAUUCUGAUAUAUUUAUUUUCAUAAUUAUUUUCGUUUUGGGUUUCUAUUUAAAAUAGGCAUUUGGUGGUUUGGUUUUCGAAUAAUGUUUCUUUGAUUGAUUUAAUGGAAUUUGUCUCUGACCAGAAGUUUAUGUUUUCUUUUUUUUUUAGUGUGGUGUAGAAAUUUAUCUUUUUGAAUGAGUCUACUAAUUUGAGACUUUACUGUGGUUUUUUCAGUUGAAUUUUAUCUUGUGGAAGAAAUUAUAUAGAGUUCAUGCUACCCUUUUGCAAGAUAAUGAAGACAAAGUAUGAGUGGAGUAGGGGUGCCCCUGAAACUAUUUAAGAUUAGAGCAGAUUCAACCAAUAUAUUGUCAAAAGUGAAAGGCUAAUCACAUGAAUUGGUUGUUGAUAUUCUUGAAAAUGUUGCUUAAGGGGAUAAGCCACUACUAGAAAAUGAGGAUUAAGAAAAAAAAAUAGUUGGUUGUUACUUUCAUGAGAGGAGAUAUAUUGGUUGCCAUACAUUUAUUUUUGUAUAUUUGCUUUGAAAGAUUUUUAUUAUUAAUUAUGUAUUGUAUAGAAAUCAUUUUUGUUUGAUAUUUUUGGAAUAAAAUUUGGUUAUUAUAUACACAUGAAUAAUAUUGGCAGCAUGUGAA